rnacentral:rRNA from 1 species
AGCAGCCGCGGUAAUUCCAGCUCCAAUAGCGUAUAUUAAAGUUGUUGCAGUUAAAAAGCUCGUAGUUGAAUUUCGGGAUUGACACAUCGGUCGUGCCUUAAGGGGUAUGAACUGGUGUAGUCAAUUUCUCACCUUCCGGAGAACCGCGAUGCCCUUAAUUGGGUGUCACGGGGAACCAGGACCUUUACUUUGAAAAAAUUAGAGUGUUUAAAGCAGGCAUUUUGCUUGAAUACAUUAGCAUGGAAUAAUAAAAUAGGACGGCAUGAUUCUAUUUUGUUGGUUUCUAGGAUCACCGUAAUGAUUAAUAGGGAUAGUUGGGGGCAUUAGUAUUCAAUUGUCAGAGGUGAAAUUCUUGGAUUUAUUGAAGACUAACUACUGCGAAAGCAUUUGCCAAGGAUGUUUUCAUUAAUCAAGAACGAAAGUUAGGGGAUCGAAGACGAUCAGAUACCGUCGUAGUCUUAACCAUAAACUAUGCCGACUAGGAAUCAGACGAUGUUAAUUUUUUAAUGACUCGUUUGGU